UCCCGCGGGCGGAAACGCUGGCGGGAAGUCAGCAGAAGUCAUAGUAGUGCGAGGACAAGCCGGGGGCGUUCAGUCGCCCGUUUAAACUGGGAAUACCGGAAACCUUGAUGAACACGAAGGAC
rfam:Opitutaceae bacterium TSB47 genomic scaffold Scaffold2, whole genome shotgun sequence.